rnacentral:rRNA from 1 species
GAUUAACGCUAGCGGCAGGCCUAACACAUGCAAGUCGAGGGGCAGCACGGGGUAGCAAUACUCUGGUGGCGACCGGCGCACGGGUGAGUAACGCGUAUGCAACCUACCUUUAACAGGAAGAUAGCCCCGAGAAAUCGGGAUUAAUACUCCAUAAUGAUUAAGAAUCGCAUGGUUUUUAAUUUAAAGUUCCGACGGUUAAAGAUGGGCAUGCGUGACAUUAGUUAGUUGGUGAGGUAACGGCUCACCAAGACCACGAUGUCUAGGGGUUCUGAGAGGAUUAUCCCCCACACUGGUACUGAGACACGGACCAGACUCCUACGGGAGGCAGCCGUGAGGAAUAUUGGUCAAUGGUCGCAAGACUGAACCAGCCAUGCCGCGUGCAGGAUGAAUGUUCUAUGAAUUGUAAACUGCUUUUCUAAGGGAAGAAACCUAUCCUCGUGAGGGUAGUUGCCGGUACCUUAGGAAUAAGCAUCGGCUAACUCCGUGCCAGCAGCCGCGGUAAUACGGAGGAUGCAAGCGUUAUCCGGAUUCAUUGGGUUUAAAGGGUGCGUAGGCGGAUAUUUAAGUCAGUGGUGAAAUCUUGCGGCUCAACCGUAACAUUGCCAUUGAUACUGAGUGUCUUGAAUGCAGUUGAGGUAGGCGGAAUGUGUAAUGUAGCGGUGAAAUGCUUAGAUAUUACACAGAACACCGAUUGCGAAGGCAGCUUGCUAAACUGUGAUUGACGCUGAUGCACGAAAGCGUGGGGAUCAAACAGGAUUAGAUACCCUGGUAGUCCACGCUGUAAACGAUGAUUACUCGUUGUUUGCGAUAUAUUGCAAGCGACUGAACCGAAGCAUUAAGUUAUCCACCUGGGGAGUACGUUCGCAAGAAUGAAACUCAAAGGAAUUGACGGGGCC